rnacentral:rRNA from 1 species
UACGUAGGGUGCAAGCGUUGUCCGGAAUUAUUGGGCGUAAAGAGCUCGUAGGCGGUUUGUUGCGUCGGCUGUGAAAUCCCGAGGCUCAACCUCGGGUCUGCAGUCGAUACGAGCAAACUAGAGUGUUGCAGGGGAGACUGGAAUUCUGGUGUAGCGGUGAAAUGCGCAGAUAUCAGGAGGAACACCGGUGGCGAAGGCGGUUCUCUGGGCAUUACCUGACGCUGAGGAAGCGAA